rnacentral:rRNA from 1 species
UUCGCCUGUUUUAUCAAAAACAUAACCUUUAGCCACUAACAAGUAUUAAAGGCAACGCCUGCCCAGUGAACAAUUAAACGGCCGCGGUACCCUAACCGUGCAAAGGUAGCAUAAUCACUUGUCUACUAAUUAUAGACCUGUAUGAAAGGCAAACUGAGGGCUUAACUGUCUCUUAUAGUAAGUCUACUAAACUGAUCUCCUAGUAAAAAAGCUAGAAUACCCCCAUAAGACCAGAAGACCCUGUGAAGCUUUAACUAAACUAUUAAACCCAAUAAUAGCUACUUUAGGUUGGGGCGACCUUGGAAAAAAAAAGAACUUCCAAACACACACUCGCAGGCCUACCAGCCAUUAAACGACCCAGUUAAACUGAUAAAUGGACCAAGUUACUCCAGGGAUAACAGCGCUAUCUUCUUUAAGAGCCCAUAUCAAAAAGAAGGUUUACGACCUCGAUGUUGGAUCAGGACAUCCUAAUGGUGCAACCGCUAUUAAGGGUUCGUUU